rnacentral:rRNA from 1 species
CAAUAGCGUAUAUUAAAGUUGUUGCGGUUAAAAAGCUCGUAGUUGGAUUUCUGCUGAGAACGACCGGUCCGCCCUUUGGGUGUGUAUCUGGCUCUUUCUUGGCAUCUUCUUGGAGAACGUUGCUGCACUUGACUGUGUGGAGCGCUACCCAGGACUUUUACUUUGAGGAAAUUAGAGUGUUUCAAGCAGGCAUACGCCUUGAAUACAUUGGCAUGGAAUAAUAAGAUAGGACCUCGGUUCUAUUUUGUUGGUUUCUAGAGCUGAGGUAAUGAUUAAUAGGGAUAGUUGGGGGCAUUCGUAUUUAACUGUCAGAGGUGAAAUUCUUGGAUUGCGUUGCGACAAACUACUGCGAAAGCAUUUGCCAAGGAUGUUUUCAUUGA